CCCACCGGUCUUCUCAUCAAUAUAAUUUCGUAUCUACGGUCCAUGUCUGUCGGUAGUUAUGGUCUACUAGUUAUGGUCUGUGUUGUAUUUUUAGCGUAGGGCGAUAACGAUUCAUCCGUCAUAAAGUGUUUGCAAUCAGCAGAUUAAUAUUCUAUCAAAUCGCAACCUGCGCCGACCCACUUGCGUUUAUAUUUUGCAUCAAGUUCCGCAUGUAUUCAAAUCAAUUUUUCAAUUAGAAGUCGACAAAGGAUAUGUCUUAUAUAAAUUUCCUCCUUGAAUAUCCUGAGCAAAAUCCUGAGAAUGCAGUAUCUUAAGUAACGAACAUAUGAGUAUGCGAUGGAAAGGCGUAACGUUCUCUUUAUAUCUUGUGCGAAUCGGAAGGAAAUUAGCUGAAGAAUCGCCUGGUAAUGCUGGUAGCGAAUGAAAAAUGACAUAGACAGGGGCAUCGAAAAGAUAAGCGCUGAGAAACUAUGCGGAUCCUCUGGUGUCUUUUGGGGUUUGUCUGUGGGAGUUUAUCAAUCCUCGAGGCUCAUCCCGUGUCCUCGCUGUUUGCCACCGGACCUCGUGCCACUGUUGCAGAAUCUCACGCAUCAGGAUGGCUAAUGUAUAUGUUUGGUUUGUUUGCCGUCGUUGUUUUGGCAUUUGCAAUUAUUGGAUGUAUGUGCUGUAAGAGGCAGCGUUUUCCUAAAGGCUUUCAGGAUACAGAAGGGAAAUUGAAUCAGGAAUUCAAAGAUGGUCACACGUCAUCCGGCUGUGACUUGGCAUUUGAAAAUCCCAUAAGUGGACUGGAACUUGUAGUGCCGCAGUCAGGAUCACGCUUGGAACGCAUAUGUUUUGAACCCUUGCCUUUGGAUUGUUUUGUACCUCAAACCAGCAGCUUCCCAACGCUGAAACCAAAACUACCACAUUCGACUCCACUAACCUCAGACCAAAGUUGGUCAUCGCCGAUUCACUCAUGCAACGAAUGGUUUGACUCUACUAUCCACAUCCCCAGAGAAAGAUUAAAAUACUUACGAGAAAUUGGACAUGGUUGGUUCGGCAAAGUUGUCGAAGGGCGGGCAGAUUUGGAAACAACCGAAGGUGUAGGAAACGUUGUGCAGAACAAGGGUGUGAUAGUGAGAAUCCUAACUGAAGAAGCAACAAACCAAGAAAAAUCAUGGUUCCUUUGCGAAGUAAUGCCGUACCUGAAACUGCGCCAUCGAAAUAUCUUAUUGUUAUUGGGAACGUGCCUGGAGACUGAUCCGUACUUACUUUUGUUUGAAUCAUGUCCUCUUGGAGAUCUGAAAGGAUUCCUAAAAUCCAAUUCUGACACAGAAACAAGAGAAGCGCUUUUGCGUGGACAUGUUCCCAAGAGAAUGGCUAUUGAAGUUGCCGCAGGACUAGAACACAUGCAUGUACAUGGAUUCGCCCACACAGACCUUGCUGCAAGAAACUGCCUGGUUGCGUCUGAUUUAUCCAUCAAGCUCGGAGAUUAUGGUACCAGCAUUGAAAAGUACCCAACAGACUACCACGUUGUUGGCGACAGAGCCUUGCCUAUCAGAUGGGCGGCACCGGAGAGCCUAAAGUGUACAGAUACUACAAUCGAAACCCUUGAAAUCACUGUGAAGGCAAACCUCUGGAGCUAUGCUGUUCUUUUGUGGGAAAUAGUCACCUGGGGCAAAAUACCGUACGAUCACUUAUGCGACGAAGAAGUCAUUCAAGCAGUUUUAUCUUCUACCGAUGCUACAGCCCAAUCCAUAACAGAAACAAACUUUUCCGAACUACUCUUGAAAUGUCCAGAGGACUGUCCGCAGAAUUUCUAUCACGUUAUGCGCUCAUGUUGGGUGAUAGACCCAGACCUACGCCCAGGUUUAGAUCAAGUUCAACAAGUACUUGAGACACAGGACUUUGAACUGCGAUGGGAAACUCUCAGGCCUAACACACUGCAAGACCGAGGAAAAAGUGCUAGUCUUUUUAAUUUACACGGCAGUAUCGAUUCAGAUGGUUGGAUCAGUCCUCACAUUUCCGAUGGCCUAAUAAUCACAAAUAACAAUGAAAAAGUUUUGUCGACAUCCUUUCGAUUGGGGCCAGAAGAGCCAGUGAAAAAUGUUCCAGGAAUCAAAGCAAGUAACACCAUACACGAGACUGAUUCAGAAACUGAAGAAGAAAGUUGGUUGGACAGAGUGAAGCGUGGUGCUUAUACGGAGAAGGUCAGACAAAAGUCAAAGUCUGUUGCAGACUUGAUGGUGCUUGUUCACAUUGAUUCUGACUCUGAGGCAGAAUGGUCUCUUGGGAUUCAAGGACCUGAGCAGACAAAAAAAAGACUUACAUCUGCUGGAAGUGACAGCAACUUAAAGAGCACUGUUCUGGCCGACGAAUUCACUGAGACUCUGAAAAAACUGCGUAAUCCACUACAAACUCAGCUCUACGAUCACUCUGCUCAGGAUGAUUUUAACGUCUGUAAGAUUGACCUUGCUAGAGAAACUUCGGAUACAACCAAUGUCUUGACAUUAACAACUGACUUUGGCCAAAGACCAAUGUUGAGACUAUCGACACCAAAAAAUGUAUGUCCGACUUAUGAAACAUCACAAAAAUCUAGUGAGUCGGUUGAUUUUGUCAUGUCGGAAGAUCUACAUGAAAUUUCUGAGACUUUAGCGGAACAAAGAGUGCCUCUUGACAAAUCUGAGGUAAAAUCGGCCGUGUGCUCCUCGGCAGAAUCCUCAAACGUCGUCAGCCAAGAAGUAGUGCAUCCUGAAGAACACAUUCUCCGACUUGUGCCUAAGUCAAACCCUUGCCCUCCUCUUCUGAGGUUAGUACCCGACCCAACUAAUGCUCCGGAACGAUUUCAGCCAUCAGAUAUUAGUAAGCAAGGAAAAUUAAAAGAUGGCUCAAAUCCCAUCCCUGAUACUCAUUUUGUUGACCGAAUCAGACGUGUGCCUAAUGGAGAAGAGGGAGGAAAGCAAAACGUUUCCGAAAUAUGUGAUAAGAUGUUUGGACGUCAUUUUAAUGAUAUUCAGAAUACGACUGAAAACUUGGAGCAAUGUAAUUUAGGUAGUAAAAAUUCUGCAAUAAAUUAUUCUAAUAUUAUAACUUUAGUAGAAACUGAAAAGGUACUGAAUGAAAAAUCGUUGUCGCUCGAGAACAUCUGUAAUCGCCAGAGCGAUAAGGCAAUAAUUCCAGACUUAGAGAUUGAGAACCCUGAGGAGAGAAAAAGUGCAGAUGUAAAAUCAUUUUUGCACAGCGAUGCAUCUCCGAAGCCCGUGGUUAGUCCAUCCUUGAAAAAGGAUCCUGCUGAGUUUAAAGCCACGGAAUGUGAUGAAUUUGACCAAAGCAAUAUGUCUCUUAACAACACAAGUCCCCAAUUGCUUGGGCCGCAUGCCUCAUCCGAGAAAUGUACCAGGCAGAAACUAUUCAGCGGAAACGAAACAAACAUGGAAAAUAAAGUAAAAAAAAAAUCAGAUGUCACCGGAGGAAGAGAGGAUUCUAAACGACUCUCCACUCCAGAUGAUGAGCGUAGCUCUGACUCUGGUUUUCGUGAUAAAGAAUCGUGUGAAGAGGAAGAGAGUCCAGCUGUUCCAACCCAGCCAUCUCAACCCUGUUUUGCAAUGGCUGAAGAUGAACACCUUUUUGUUAUAUCUGAACUGGAUGCCAUACUUGAUGCAGAAUCACCUGGUAACUUUGCUGACCUGGAUGACGUAGAAGAACUAAUUUCACCUGAUUCCAUUGAUUGGAAAAUCACUCACUUAGACAAUCCAAAGUCUGAGAAUUACAAUGCAACUGAGGAACUGGAUAGUUCAGAUGACCAUAAAGGUUGGUUUUUACACUCACAGAAAGAUACUUGCCAUCAACUACUUCGUACUAAUUCUGGCACUAAUGCUGACAUAGAGGAUAAUAUUGACAAUCUGGCAUUGGAUGUUCUGAAACCGGAAAUUCAAACUUCAGAUACCAAGGUGCAAGUGAAACCAGUAAUGUGUGAUCCGUCCUUGGUUCCAAAUGAAGCUAACAAUUUCCUCGAUGGUCACCCUGUUUUGACUGGUGACCAGCUGUAUUCCAUGAAUGAAUCGAUAGAAGCAAUCAAGGUUUCUACAGAGGACCCUGGUUACCUUGACAGCCAAGAUGGACUUGGCUCUACAGAAAGCCUUCAUAGUGACAAUUCGUACAUUUCCUUUGGCCUGGAAGACGAAUACGUGGUUGCCAUACGAAAAGAGUUGAGCGAAAAACUACCCCAUGCUCAAAUGCCUGUUGAAGAAACUCGAGAGCCAUGCGAUAGUCGAGAUCUGACUAAAGAAGAUGAAAUGAAUAUAACGGAUCACCAAAAUUGGAACGAUGAAGAAGGACAAACUGAACAAGGGAGCGGGGUUGUCGAUAUAUCUAUUAGGUACAACAUUUACAACACUCCCUUGAGCCCUAUAUUAGAGGAGCGUGAAAACUUCAGUAUUAUUACUUCGGAAUCUUUGGCCUCAAAAGAUUCGUACGAAGAUUCUUUUCUAUCAAAACAUUCAGGAAGCUCUAACAACAAUGGCGAUGAAGAUCUGCUGCUAGUUGAUGUUGCAACAAAUAAAGCUGUACUUGUGGAUGGGGAUAGAGAUCCUUUUGCAGAAGGAGAUAAAGAAGAUCAGGACACUUCAAAUGUUGAUAUAUCAGACGAUGAAACGUUUGAAUACAGAAUUGCAAUGCCUGACUUGAAUCAGGAACCUGAAAAACAACUGCAUGCUGUGAUAGGUGGAAGUGCACCACUGCCAAGUCCUGAGGAUGAGCUGAAAUGGCAACAGUUAUCUUUGUCCUUUCCCCUUCCUCCACAGAAUGAUCUAAUGUCGACAAGUUUCAGCUCCAAACAUGACUGGGAUAGCCAAGAUGACGACAACAGCUCAAGUUCUGGAGAAUUCAUUUGGAAGGAGGGCGAAAGAUUGUCUCCACGGUGCGGAAGAUUGGACCCGAUUGAUCAGCUCCAUGAUAAUUCAGUAAUGGAUGGAAUCAAGGAGGAAACAGAGAUGGAUGAAGAAGAUGUAGGAGAUCUCGAAGAAGACGGAGAAGGUGAUGAAGAGGAUCUAGAGUUCACACCAUCUGCAUGGGACGCCACACUCGCACCGCAUAGAUCUGCAUUGAGAUCACCCGAUAAGACUCAACGACCUAAAUGGAUCAAAAAAAAAGUGUUUGGUUCAAAAAACAGAGAUACCACUGUGUCUAUGAGUAUCCAAAGGAAGUCUCCACCGCUACCAAUCAAGAACAAGCGAUCACUGAUUGGAAGCCGACAUCCUACGCAGAUUGGGAGGAACUGAUGGAAGAGCCAGCGAGAUUAGAUUUGUAUCCCAUAGAAUACGACGACGCUGAUGAAAAUGGAGAAGAAUUCUACGUCAGCAGUUCGAAUCGUCCAUUUCAAUUCCAAACAG
rnacentral:misc_RNA from 1 species